GCAGAUUCGAUAAAGAAGCCGUAGAAAAUGUAGAAGAACCGUAGUCAUAGCAGUUACCACAAUGAGGGUCAUCGGCUACUUAGGCAAACACUACAAUCAGCAGGCAACACGUUCCUAUUCCACAAUCUGCAAAUUUCAGAGAUUGAAAACCUUCUAAACAGGGGCUAUUGGAGAUCUAUUUGCCGGCUGCUUGAAGGUUGUUUGGAUCUCAUGCAGAAGACCAGCCGAUCAAAAAGCCACCAAACCAAGGACUGCUACAAAUAUAUAUUAAGUGCCAAAUCUUUUGUAAAAAUAUUCAUGAUCUAUCACCUAUAAAGGUCGUGGGGCUCUCUGUAGCUAAAACCGUGACACCGGCUGUA